GAGGGUGACAAGCUAAAAAAGAAACUGUGCCCAGCCACUUAGAAUAGAAUACUGAAAGAUAAGUCUGAGAGUGAACAGAAAUUAUUUAAUCCAUCAUCAUCAGUUCAGUAAAAUAU